GGCCUCUUUCUAGUUGUUGGGGAUGCAGGGAGCAGACCAGUCCAGUAGAGUUGCCUUCAAUUAAGUUCCCACUGGGCUUGUGCUCACUGUCUCCCUGCUUCUGUAGCCUGUGGGCC